rnacentral:tRNA from 1 species
AAAAUCCGUCGACUUUAGAAAUCGUGAGGGUUCAAGUCCCUCUA